rnacentral:rRNA from 1 species
CCUACGGGAGGCUGCAGUCGAGAAUCAUUCACAAUGGGGGAAACCCUGAUGGUGCGACGCCGCGUGGGUGAAUGAAGUUCUUCGGAUUGUAAACUCCUGUCAUGUGGGAGCAGAAUGAAACGGUAGCAUCACAAUAGGAAGCGGCGGCUAACUCUGUGGCAGCAGCCGUGGUAAUACAGAGGUCUCAAGCGUUGUCCGUAAUCACUGGUCGUAAAGCGUGCGUAGGCUGUGUCGUAAGUCGUCGGGGAAACGCGCGGGCUCAACCUGCGGACGGCAAAUGAUACUGCGGGACUAGAGUAAUGGAGGGGGAACCGGAAUUCCUGGUGUAGCAGUGAAAUGCGUAGAUA